rnacentral:rRNA from 1 species
GAUGAACGCUGGCGGCGUGCCUAAUACAUGCAAGUCGAGCGAACAGACGAGGAGCUUGCUCCUCUGACGUUAGCGGCGGACGGGUGAGUAACACGUGGAUAACCUACCUAUAAGACUGGGAUAACUUCGGGAAACCGGAGCUAAUACCGGAUAAUAUAUUGAACCGCAUGGUUCAAUAGUGAAAGACGGUUUUGCUGUCACUUAUAGAUGGAUCCGCGCCGCAUUAGCUAGUUGGUAAGGUAACGGCCUACCAAGGCGACGAUGCGUAGCCGACCUGAGAGGAUGAUCAGUCACACUGGAACGGAGACACGGUCCAGACUCAUACGGGAGGCAGCAGUGGGGAAUAUUGGACAAUGGGCGAAAGCCUGAUCCAGCCAUGCCGCGUGUGUGAAGAAGGUCUUCGGAUUGUAAAGCACUUUAAGUUGGGAGGAAGGGCAGUAAGUUAAUACCUUGCUGUUUUGACGUUACCAACAGAAUAAGCACCGGCUAACUUCGUG